rnacentral:lncRNA from 1 species
GUUUUAGGCCUGGAUGGCCACGGUCAAACCGCGGCCAAACACCCUCUCAGAGUCUUCAUUUGUCUGCUGCCUUCUGUUGCGGUUUUGCCGCUGUCGCAAUAAAACCGUAAUUUUCACCCUGUUCCAUUUGGAAUUUGGAAAAACAUAAAACAUGAAAGUUGUAGUCUUUGAGUUAUCUUUCCAACCAUAUACUAUGGAACCCAAAUAGAGUUCUGAACAAAACGGUAUAUCCAUGUUACUAGACAGUGCACGAUAUUUCUCA